GAUUUCUGACGAACCGGAUUGGCCCGUUCCCAUUCUGGGUAUGUGUGCCGGUUUGAGUUUGUCAUCCUUCCAGAGAGCUGCGUCUACCGUUUACUCGGCCGGACGUACGUUAUCUGGAUCUAUUACUUUGAAAAAAUUAGAGUGUUUAAAGCAGGCUUGCGCUAUGAAUACAUUAGCAUGGAAUAAUAAUUUAGGACUUUUGUCUUAUUUUGUUGGUUUUCGGACUUAAGUAAUGAUUGAUAGGGAUAGUUGGGGGUGCUAGUAUUCAGCGGCCAGAGGUGAAAUUCUUGGAUUCGCUGAAGACUAACUUAUGCGAAAGCAUU
rnacentral:rRNA from 1 species